GGUCCCAUAGCUCAGUUGGUCAGAGCGUCGUACUAAUAUUAUAACUACAAUUGUAACAUGAGUAAUGCGAAGGCCGUGAGUUCAAGCCUCACUGGGACCA